rnacentral:rRNA from 1 species
UGAUAAUAUUUUUUACAUGGAUAACCGUGGUAAUUCUACAGCUAAUACAUGAGCAAAAUCUCAACUUUAUUAGAAGAGAAGCAUUUAUUAGAUAAAAAGCCAAUGCAUGCUUUUACAGUAUGAAAAUUGGUGAUUUAUAAUAACUUAGCAAAUCGUAAAGUGAAAACAGACGAUAAAUCAUUCAAGUUUCUGACCUAUCAGCUUUCGACGGUAUGGUAUUGGCUUACCGUGGCAGUGACGGUUAACGGGGGAUUAGGGUUCGAUUCCGGAGAGGGAGCCUGAGAAACGGCUACCACAUCUAAGGAAGGCAGCAGGCGCGCAAAUUACCCAAUUCUAACAGUUUGAGAGAGGUAGUAACAAGAAAUAACAAUACAAGGCAGUUAAAAUGCUUUGUAAUUGGAAUGAUAGAAAUUUAAACCCUUUUUAAAGUAUCAAUUGGAGGGCAAGUCUGGUGCCAGCAGCCGCGGUAAUUCCAGCUCCAAUAGCGUAUAUUAAAAUUGUUGCAGUUAAAAAGCUCGUAGUUGAAGUUCUGCUAAAAGUAACCGGUCUGCUUUUAAUAAAAGUGGUAUCUUGGUAUGUAUUUAGCAAUGAUGUCCUUUGAAGUGUUUUUUACUUUAUUGUAAUAAAGCAUAUUCAGGACUUUUACUUUGAGAAAAUUAGA